ACACCACCGACAACAAACAUCAACAAACACACAGAGUUUCAAGAGUAAUAAAAACAAUAACAACAGCAACUACAAGCAGACUAAAACCUAAGAACUAUCAUCAUAAUCUGUGAUAAGGCAAGGCAAAGCCAUGACAAACAGAGAGACGUACACAGAAGGACAGACAUUCAGCCAUAACGACAGCAGCACCAGCACCAGCAGCAGCAGCAGCACUUGUAUAAAUUUCACCGGUUGUUCUUGGACCAGGGUAAUUGGGGAGGGAAUCUAACAUAAGGCAGAGUAUGUGGAAGAGAGUGACAUUUGUGAUAAACUAGGGGGAGAGAGUGUGAGAGAGCUCAAACACAACCACUUAAAGUUGAAUGCUUUCAAAAGGCAUUGCUUAUUACGAGAGAGAAUGUGAGAGUGGGGUUUCUUCCUCUCCCUCUCUUUGUAUCAAAAAAGAAACAACACAAACUAAUAACAAUAAUAAUGCUGCUACAAUUUAAUUUAAAAGGCACACAUUUAAGAGGAGGUAGGCGGUCAUCGCCACACUCACAUUGUCAGCGAGAAAAGAAGGCCCACAAAUGCUUAGCACAGCAUCAAACAACAAUGUAAUGUGAUGUGUAUGAAUAAAUGAAUGAACAAGUGCUCGCCAUGAUGAUGAUGACGAUUAUGAUAGCUGGGAAAAUAACAGCAGCAUCCCCACCGUCAAAGAGAAUUCAUAUCAGCAAAACAAAAAAACGUCUUGUUGCCAGCAAGUAGACAGACAGAAAAACAUGAUGAUUUGUAGAAAAGUUUUCUUCAAUUGAGCAAUUUAUUCCAGUUAAAAAUAUGGUUACAGAGAAAUAAAAAUGACUUGGAAAAAUCGAGAAAAUCCUUACAAAAUGUUAA